GGCACAGAUUUCCCUUCGCAUACAAGGGUAGCUGUUUUCGACAUGGCUUGCCUCAAACUUUUGGUUGUCGUUUUAGCAACUUUGGCUUCGCUGCCUAUGGUCACCGUCAAAGCUGCACCUCACUAUUCACCAAAUGAAUACGGCUACGAUUAUGGGUACUACUACCCAUACGGUGGCGUUUACUAUCCAUACUACCAUUACGCCCCUUAUUUUUCCCAUUACUACUAUGAUUACCCUUCCUACAGCUAUGUCCACGUGAGCCAGACUACCGGCGGUAAGAAAAAGUAGGCAGCCGUUAUCGAUAACAUUGUGGUAUACCCUGGACUGCUGCCGUCAGUUUGUCUUAUGAAAAUCUUCCUUUCGUUUUAUUUUUACCUUAAUAAAUAUGUUUAGAAAACAUGAUAUUGUCGACCAAAUUCACUAAACAUUUCUAGCGUACUAGGGGCCUGAAUAGCAAAACUAUUUGAAACCACUCGCACAAACUGUGCUUUAAAAAUUUGUGCAAUUAUGUUUCAUAAAGAUUUCCUUCGUUACCUGUUUAAAAGCAAAUAAAAUUUAUAAUUGGU